GGAGCCACCCAGGUGCCCCAAGCAUUCAUUAAAUACUUCUCUUGGACACACCUUUAAAAAGUAGGAAAAAUCUUUAUGGAAGCCCAAAUAAGUGUUUUCCUAGCUCAGAAAAUAGGUGACCUCAAUCCGGCCCCGUCUGCUGCCUUGCCCAAGAAACUCAGUCCCUGUUUGCCCUAUUUUAAUGCAAAAUGCAGUUUUGGACACAAGUUGCCCCCAGUGGGGAGAGGGCGAGGCAAUUGCCCUCACCAUCCAGUUUCAUCUUGGCCUUUGCUGAAAUUGGCCCAGGUUCAGCGUCUACACUGAUGCCACACGCCUCCUGUAGCCUGGGCUCCUGCACCUCCCUGGGUUCCCAGGCAGUCCUGGGCUGGAGGCACAGCGAACACACACACACACACGGCUUCCCAGCAAGCUUCCCCCACCCUGCCCCAAGGCCAGGCCUUCCUCUUCCUCUGCUUUCUCCUCAGCCGGGAGCCGAGGGAGGAUGGGAGGUCCCCACCUCUCCCCUCCACAGCAGACUGUGGUCCGGAGCCCUGGAGGACUUGGCCCCUGCUUUGUAUCUGCCCUCCCAGAGGAGGAGGGUUUGCAGGGCCCAGUUUUGAGGUUAUUUGGAGCUGGUGAUCGGUGAGGUGUCUUUAAGCUGGUGGAGCCAGCUGUGCUGACUUAGUCAGCUGGCCUGGAUAAAUGCCUUUCCUUUUGUUCUCUUAAGGAAAAUAAUGUCAGAGUGCAGGACGGGCCCCUGGCGGGAGAGCUGACACCGUGGAGACGAUUCAUUAGCAGAUGCUCCGCUGAACCUCAGCUGUUCUCUCCAGUGACAUCGGUGCGACAGGGAGCUAUUUGUUCAGCUUCCGAAGGGCAAAGGACCCAGCUUGUUCUCUCUGCAGCUAGAUGAGCUGAACUGGCUGCAGGAAAACAGCCGGCAUUUGUCAGUGAGCUGCACCGACAAGAUACAGAAGACAGAGCCCAAGCAGAGAAGGGCAGCUCAGGAGCAAACAGUGCCAAGCACCGUCGAGUAAUCCUUUGCAGACUCGAUGGCAAUCAACGCCACCCAAGGGCACCGGAUGUGCCCAUAGAAACCUCUUGCAUUUCUGGCUGAACGUGGCUGUGGACUGGCGUUCGGGGAGAACAUCUGUUGUUUCCAGGCAGGCCAGACUGCCGAAUGCAAAAGUGACUCUUUUGAUAUUGAUAAAUAACGUGACUCAGGAAUCCCCCCCACAGAAAUUGUGCGAACCCUUAAUUAUCAGGGCACUUUCUCAGGGGCACAUUAGAAUAUACACUGAAUUGCGUUAUCUUCACCUUGGCCCACGCCUCUGUAACGCAGGGCGGUAAGUUGCUCUCAGAAGUUUUUGCUUUUGUUUGUAAAUCAUCAGUUCAGACUGCAGGAAGGUUUCCAGGAAUUAGGAAGAGAAAAAGCCUAGCAAAAAAUACACAGAGUGAGAUUCCUAAAGUAGGUUCCCCACCCCACCCCCACCCCCACCCCCAGCCCCCCUUCUGGCGAACGGGUCACAAGAUUGCAAUUCUAAACAAUCUCACAAUUAAUUCUUGAGCUAUGCAGCCCAAUUAGAACAAAUGCUUUCUUUCUGGUUUAAUUAGAGAUGAGUACGCGCCUGUGAGCUUAUUUGUAUAAAAUAAGCACUCAUUAAACCAGGUUUGGAUCAGGCUCAGCUUGUUAGAAAUGCCCUUGAAAAGGGUGCUUUCUCUCACUGUCUCUGGCCCUUUUAACCCCUUCAAUGCCUAGAAUGAACUUCGUAGACGUGGACGGCAUAAAAAGUAUCUUUGUGGCAACCUGGUGAACUUGAAAGAGGAGAGAUGCGUUUGCUAGAUUUGCUGGUAAAGAGGCCCUUCCUCUCACCUCUGUACGCUUGGCAUCUUCCUAACCUGCCUCACCCACCGCAGGCCGGAAAUCUGGUUGCGUCUGACGAAGGUCACUCAGCUGUAGCAAGAACAGGCUUCCAUGUGACGUGCGUUCUUGAACGUCUCACUAUCCAGAGUGUGAGCCAUGGGCCAGCAGCAGCUCUCAGGUUCACCCCAGACUUGUGAGAAUCUGCAUUUUUACAACAUCCCCAGAAAGUAAAACUUGGGUAUAACAAGAUGGCAGCAUGAGGCACGUUACCGACAAGGCUGAGGACUCCUUUGCUCCCUCAUGUCGUUCAGCCCUGGACUUUCUUCAAAGAGCCUGGGGCAAGAAGAUAUUGAUAUGUCCUUGCUUCACCACAUGGUGCCAGAAAGAGGGUUGAGCUAUAGGUAUAGCAGGUUUUAAAUUUCUCUCCUUCCGUCCUAGACACGGAGGCUAUUGUCACUGUUGAUUAGGGGACGAUGAAGGAGACCGGAUUAGCAGGUGAGUCAUCACCAGUGAGCCUUCUAGCUGGCCCUGGUCUGACUGGUAUCCUGUUAUUGCCUCUGCCCUGGUGAUGGGCUCAGCCCUGCAGCCCUCCCCACUUCGGCUGGAUGCUGGGGCAGGACCAUAGGCGUCUGCACAGCCUAGGAAGCUUGUCCCCAGCCCUGAGCUCCAGCCCAUGAAAGGCCCAUUCCAGCUCCCUUUACCUUUUGCUGAUGAAACAGAAACCUGGAGGAAGACCUGGGAGGGGACCAUUCCUCCCUCUCAGUGAGCUUUCCUUAGCCCACGAUGACCUUGUGGUACAUCAGCUCGUCAUCGUCUAAUGGCGUGUGAUGGCAGAAGGAGAUGUGAGGGAGGCAGGCUAAGGGGGGGGGGGUGGUGAGACAAUCUGGAAAAGCCAAGAGUAAGGAGCUGGGAUCAGGUAACCAUGCAGUUUGCUGGAAACCUUGAACAUGAUUCUGAAAAGUUCAACUAGAGUUCUGGAAUAAGAGGUUUAUUUAUUUAUUUAUGUAUUUAUUUAGUGCAAGUGGAGGAGGGGCACGGAAAGAAUCCCAAGCAAGCUCUGUGCUGCCAGCGUGGAGCCUGAGGUGAGGCUCCCUCCCAGAAACCGUGAAACACGGCCUGAGCCCAAAUGGAGACUUGGGUACUGCUCUCUCUCUGCCCCUCCCCGGCUCACGCUCUCCCUCUCUCCUUCGCGAAAUCAAUAAAUGAACUUUAAGCAUAAAAUAAAAUACGUUUGCUACUUUAAAAAAG